rnacentral:RNase_P_RNA from 1 species
CGAGUAAGCCGGGCAGCCGCGUGCGGUAACGCAUGAGGAAAGUCCGGGCUUCACAGGGCAAGGGCGCCGGGUAACGCCCGGCGAAGGCGACUUCAGGGAAAGUGCAACAGAAAUAAACCGCCCGCCGGAAUGAACUUUCCCCGACGGGUAAGGAUGGAAAGGUGAGGCAAGAGCUCACCGCCGCGCCGGUAACGGCGCGGGCUCUGUAAACCCCGCCCGAAGCAAGACCGAAUAAAGCAUACGGUUAAACCGUAAGGAGUUGCCCGCUCCCGCUUUGGUAGGGUCGCUUGAUUCGCGCGGCGACGCGCGGGCGAGAUAGAUGGCUGUCCACGACAGAACCCGGCUUACAGGCUUGCUCAAAAA